CUACGGGGGGCAGCAGUGGGGAAUAUUGCACAAUGGGCGCAAGCCUGAUGCAGGCAUGCCGCGUGUGUGAAGAGGGCCUUCGGGUUGUAAAGCACUUUCAGCGGGGAGGAAGGCGGUGAGGUUAAUAACCUCAUCGAUUGACGUUACCCGCAGAAGAAGCACCGGCUAACUCCGUGCCAGCAGCCGCGGUAAUACGGAGGGUGCAAGCGUUAAUCGGAAUUACUGGGCGUAAAGCGCACGCAGGCGGUCUGUCAAGUCGGAUGUGAAAUCCCCGGGCUCAACCUGGGAACUGCAUUCGAAAGUGGCAGGCUAGAGUCUUGUAGAGGGGGGUAGAAUUCCAGGGGGAGCGGUGAAAUGCGUAGAGAUCUGGAGGAAUACCGGUGGCGAAGGCGGCCCCCGGGACAAAGACUGACGCUCAGGUGCGAAAGCGUGGGGAGCAAACAGGAUUAGAUACCCGUGUAGUC
rnacentral:rRNA from 1 species